rnacentral:lncRNA from 1 species
AUAAAGGUAAAGAACAUGCACAUCCCAUAUAUGUAAUAUGAAUGCCAUGUAUACUUAGCAAAAAAUGAAUGCCAUGUAUAUAGAUAUAGACGAACACAAGAUACGUGAAAGCUAAGGCAUCGGAAAGUUGGUUGAUCGCAAGGAAUUGGAUACGGCUCGAGAUGGCAUCACAUGUCAUUGUAAUCCAUAGAUCUCAAUAAUGUGUUUCCACUUUUUUUGUUACUUCCAUCAGCAAUAUAUUCCAAAAAUAUUUUGUAUUUUUACGAUAAGAAAAAGCGAAUUCAUUUUUUUCAAGAUUAAUAGGUUUCCACUCUUAUAAAAGCA